CGGGUCCUAAGCAAAGUCCGAAAGGGGUAUGCGAUGGAAAAUUGGUUAAUAUUCCGAUACCGAUAUCAGUGUGCGACGGAAGGACGCUUAAAGUUAGUGGAGCUAGCGGAUGGAAGUGCUAGUCUAAGGAAGUAGGUUGAGUUAUAGGCAAAUCCGUAACUCUUUAUCCGAGAUCUGAAAGGCUUCUGACGCUCUUCGGAGUAGAUGAAGAAUCCAUGAUACUAUCGAGCCGAGAAAAGUUUCUAAGUUUAGCUGAUAUCGCCCGUACCGUAAACCGACACAGGUGGGUGGGAUGAGUAUUCUAAGGCGCGUGGAAGAACUCUCUUUAAGGAACUCUGCAAAAUAGCACCGUAUCUUCGGUAUAAGGUGUGCCUAGCUUCGUUAAGAAUUUACUUCGUAAGCGAAGAAGGUUACAACAAAGAGUCCCUCCCGACUGUUUACCAUAAACACAGCACUCUGCUAACUCGUAAGAGGAUGUAUAGGGUGUGACGCCUGCCCGGUGCUCGAAGGUUAAUUGAUGAUGUUAGCUUACGCAAAGCAUCUGAUCGAAGCCCGAGUAAACGGCGGCCGUAACUAUAACGGUCCUAAGGUAGCGAAAUUCCUUGUCGAUUAAAUAUCGACCUGCAUGAAUGGCGUAACGAGAUGGGAGCUGUCUCGAAGAGGGAUCCAGUGAAAUUGUAGUGGAGGUGAAAAUUCCUCCUACCCGCGGCAAGACGGAAAGACCCCGUGGACCUUUACUACAGCUUGACACUGCUAUUGGGAUAAAAAUGUGCAGGAUAGGUGGGAGGCUUUGAUCCAUAGACGCCAGUUUAUGGUGAGCCGUUGUUGAGAUACCACUCUUUUUUAUUCUGAUAGCUAACUAGCUUGAGUUAUCCUCAAGUAGGACAAUGUCUGGUGGGUAGUUUGACUGGGGCGGUCGCCUCCCAAAAUGUAACGGAGGCUUACAAAGGUUGGCUCAGAACGGUUGGAAAUCGUUCGUAGAGUAUAAAGGCAUAAGCCAGCUUAACUGCGAGACAUACACGUCAAGCAGAGACGAAAGUCGGUCUUAGUGAUCCGGUGGUUCUGUGUGGAAGGGCCAUCGCUCAAAGGAUAAAAGGUACCCCGGGGAUAACAGGCUGAUCUCCCCCAAGAGCUCACAUCGACGGGGAGGUUUGGCACCUCGAUGUCGGCUCAUCGCAUCCUGGGGCUGGAGCAGGUCCCAAGGGUAUGGCUGUUCGCCAUUUAAAGCGGUACGCGAGCUGGGUUCAGAACGUCGUGAGACAGUUCGGUCCCUAUCUGCCGUGGGCGUAAGAAGAUUGAGGAGAGUUGACCCUAGUACGAGAGGACCGGGUUGAACCGACCACUGGUGUACCAGUUAUCCUGCCAAGGGUAGCGCUGGGUAGCUAUGUCGGGAUGUGAUAACCGCUGAAAGCAUCUAAGCAGGAAGCCAACUCCAAGAUGAAUCUUCUUUUAAGAGCUCUUAUAGACUAUAAGUUUGAUAGGCUGGGUGUGUAAUGGAUGAAAGUCCUUUAGCUGACCAGUACUAAUAGCUCGUCUGCUUAUCUU
rnacentral:rRNA from 1 species